GGGUCAGUAGGUUGGUCGUGCCACCGGUACGUACUGGUCUCACUGAUUCCUCCUUCCUGAAGAACCGUAAUGCCAUUAAUUUGGUGUUGCGGGGAAACAGGACUGUUACUUUGAAAAAAUUAGAGUGUUUAAAGCAAGCUAACGCUUGAAUACACUAGCCUGGAAUAAUGAAAUAGGACGAUCGAUCCUAUUUUGUUGGUUUCUAGGAUUGACGUA
rnacentral:rRNA from 1 species